GUGUAUUACAUCGUCAUAAACUUCUAUUUCAUUACAUCAAAUGAUAAAUUUUAAUACGGUAAUCAAUGUCUAUGACCGGGGGAUUCGGUUCCACAUGGCGGGGGUCGACGGUUACGCGCUGGAUUCCUCCUUCCUCUAGCUUCCGGCGGCGGUUGUUCUUCCUCGGGUGGUGAUUGUUGUUCUUCCGGUUCGGCAUCUGCUUGUCGGACUUGGGACGAUGAUCCACCUUCAAAGAAUAGUGUAUGUGGAGGUGUUUGCAUCAUGAACGGCGACGGAGUUUAAAAGCCAUGCGUUGCUGGCGAUUGGUAAAAAGGAGAGCUCCCCGACGGCCCCCCUUGCGACCCCUCCUGCGCCGAUGGCCUAGUUAUCGGUGGUCCGCUCGGCAUUACAGGAAAUGGAGCUGAUCCGGGCAUUUGGCUCCAACCUGCCAUAGGAUUCGGAAAAGGAUACAUGUACGGGUUAGGGUACAUAUAAGGGCUAGGAAACAUACCUGGCAUCAUAGGGAAAGGUGAAUGCGUGGGUAUCAUCUGUUGAAUUGCUGCGCCAGGUGACUGCGUCGGUGCUCUCGUUGGGGACGGUGAUUGCAUGGUCGCUGAUGAUGAACCGGGUGAAUGUCUGGGCCUCGUUGAGGGGCUGC
rnacentral:lncRNA from 1 species